UUUGGCAGAAAAAUAACCUAAGCUCUUUAUACAAAUAUUUUACAAAUUCAAAGACAUUUAAAGUUAUAGAACUGUUCAUAAACAAUAUUUGCAAUUACCAUAAUUUUAAGUCAGUUAUCUGUCUAUCUGAAUCUGAAUGUAGUUAUGUAAGUUUUUUACAGAAGUUACUGUAGACACACUUUAUAACAUUACACGCAAAAAUGUAAGUGACAAUUAAAUCAGUAGGGGAAAGUGGGGGAAACGCGAACGCUGGGUAAUGCCGAAUUCAAUGGUUCUAAUAUGUUAGAAAGAUAUAUCCUAAUUUUAUUUGCCGCCAUUUCGGAGAUCACGCCACCACUGAUAUUAGUCAAUAACACGGGAGACGCGGACGCACGUACUUAAACAGGAACAAACUAACACUCUGCCCUGCAAGUUCAGUCUUAUGAUCAUUGGCUUAGAGUGUCAAUUCAACUGGAAUCAUCAAAAAUUUAAAUACCAACAGCACGGUCAGUAAUUACGUACAGUCGCUCGGCGAAGGCGUCUAGACAGAGCAAUCGUGCUGAGUGACAGAGAUGAGACCCGGAAAACGCGAGCCUGAGGUACAUCAACGCUGUCUCAUAAGAUUGCCGAUAAUACCUUUCAGGGCUGAAGAGUUUUAUAAUUUAAACAGUGGUGAUUUACACUAGGGGCAAUCGGGGCAAGUGCCCACGGCGGCAAAUUUUUUAGGAUGCAAAAUUUUGAAAGUUUAUUUUUUUUUUCUUUUGAAGAUUGAUCUAUUUAAUUAAUUAAUUUCAUAAUUAAUAAUUUUCUGUUUAAUUGAUAAUUCAUGAAAUUCAAUUCAUCCAUUAUUUGUGAAUUAUAAAUUUGGCACUUUUGGUAAAAUUAAUAAUCAAAAUAAUUUAAUCAAUUUAUUUCCUUGGAGAUUUAAAAUAAUAAUCGAUUUUUUUAUUUACCGAAAUUAAAGAAAUUUAAUUGUUUUUUUCAUGUAUAAUUAAGAGUCAGCCUUAGUGCCAAAUUUAUAAUUGUUAAAAAACACAUAUAUUUGUUUAUGUUUAUGAAAUAUAUAACAUAUUAUAAUAAAGUUUCUAGUAAAGUUGAAGAAAAGAAUAUAUAAACUAUAAGUUUAAGUAAAA